CCUGUAUUCUUCUCAUGGGCGCCGCGCCAAGCUCGAAAAUGGCCGCUGGAAGUUGGAACACAAAUUUCAGGUGGGCUCCUUGCCCCCGUUGGUUCAUAAAAAAAAUUAAAUAAAGGAAAAGCAAAUGAACCUACACACACGACCGGUACCACAUCACUUUGCAUAAAGGGACGCAAUCUAUGCAAUAAUGACAACAUAUUACAUUUGAACACGCGUGGACAUGAUUUGACCACACGAGGAACACGUGUCCAAGGAUGACGCAGCAUAUGUGCGCCAUGCAAUUUUCUUUGCUGGUUGUGGUAUAUGAAUGUACACGUUUUCACGCGAGUUCAGACAACAUAAACCAUUCUCAUGAAAUACACAUGAGAGCCAUUCUUAUCAAAGAAAUAAUUUUUACUAUGCACCUAGAUACAAUAUAUAUCUAGAUGAAUCUAAAAAAGAUAAAACAAUCUACAAUUUGAAAUGGAGCGAGCAGUGGGAUAUCGAUUAUACAGUUUAUUAUUAGAGCACGUUACACGUACAAAGGAAUAAUAGAUCGACGGAAAUAGACAUAACAAUAGCAGAAUAGACGAAGACUACUACACACACUUCAUAUACAUGUAUAUAUAUAUAUAUAUAUCUCUUCCCAUCUCCAUGGCUCUCAUCUCUCCUUCAUUAGCAGCUUCCAUGAGCAGUUAAUUACUGGUAAUUAGUACUUAUAAUUACUCGCCAUCGUUGCUCAUGACCAGCUGCAAGUCGCGUGCGAAUAUAUAAGCGUAUUAUGCAUGGGCCAUGCACGCUUGAGUCGUCUAGGCCACCCCGACGGCGGGGCUUUGGCGGCUCACGAGGACGUCGACCACGUCCCUGUUCGGCGCCGCCCUCGUCGCCGCCGCCACUUCAGCAGCGCAGGUCCUGGUGGGAAGCCCCAUCUCGCGCACCGGGUGCACGCCGGAGCUCCGCUCGGGGAGGGCCGGGCUGAGCUUGGCGAUGUUGACGAGGACGUGCUCGUCGGCGGCUGUCGGUAGCUUGCCCGCUUCCUUGCCGUCGGCGACCACCGGUGUCUUGUUCAUGUAGAACACGUACAGGACCAUCUGCACCACGCCGAAGGUGAAUCCAAGGAUGUUCGGAAGCUGCAGAGAUCACAUAAUUUUUUAUCGAUCAGUAUCAGUAAGACGCAUCGUACGUUAACUCACCAAAUUAAGCGACUAAAAAAGGUAUGUGAUGUGAGAAGCAAUUAGUUACCGCGACGUAUUUGUCCUUGAUGAGGAGGCCGUAGAGGAACCAGACGACGGCGCUGAGGGUGAGCGUGAGGGAGAGGGAGAAGGGCAUGUACUCCACGCUCCUCGUCUGGAUCACGCGCUUCUGCACGAACACAAACGCAUGCGAUCGAUGGCCAUUAGCACGAGCUCACCAUGGCACAACAGGAUACCAAGUAAAGGAUCGACGAUCGGAGUGCUCAGUACUCACGAUAAUGCUGAGCGGCGCGACGAAGACGCCGACGGAGAAGGCGACGCAGAUCCAUCCGAGGGUGACGAUGCGCUUGUCACCAUGGAAGACGAGGAGGGUGAAGAGGAGGAUGGCCCCGAAGAAGCCGACGUUGAGGCCAAGCAUGAUCUUGGCAGUGAACCACCUGGCUUUCUUGUCCGCGUAGACGAAGUACAAGAUGACGUAGAUGCUCUCGAUGACGAAGCCGGCGACGUUGAUGGUGAUGAGCAGGACCUCGUUGGAUUUGAUCAGCGCGUAGAAGAUCCACAGCAUCGCGCUGAACAGAGCCACCACGUAGGGAACCGACUGGAAACCCUCCGUCGACUUGCUCUUGUAGAUGCGGUAGAACGUCGGGCUGCACAUACAAAUACAAAGAAUGCAAAUAUGGUUAAUUUCAAAACAUCAAUUUCAAACGCGUAGCAAUGUUAAGCUAAUAUAUAUAUAUAUACACACGAAAUUAGAAUUUAAUGAGGUACUUACAUUGGGGCCAGGAAGGUCAUGAAGGAGAUGACGUUGCCUGCAGCACAAAAGGGCGCCAAGGAUCAGAUGUUUGCAAAAGUUGGCAAAGACCCCAAAGCUGGGGAUAAGAUGUGAUGAGGUGACACGUUACAUCUGCGGUCUAAUUUUCCUUCUUUUGCGAGCAAAGGUUGCCGAGGCUUUAUUUUAUUUUAGUUUAGUUUUGAUAAACGAGCUCUUUUGUGUUGCGGUGCACUAUGACGUCAUCUGUGCUACACAGUAGCAGCAGUGGCCUGACUACGUACGUCACCCAAGCGGCAAGAUAGAUGCUGCAAAAGGAUCGAUUGCUAGCUCGACAGGUAGUCCAUGAUAAGAAAUGUAUAGGCUAACAAAAGCAUCGAUCAAUCAUGACAAAGAUGAUAAAAAUCUAUUGAUCUAUGCUUAAUGUGUGGUGCCACUGGCACUUGUGACUAUAAUCACUUUAUGACCACAUGAAGCUUCUCAUUUUUGGAAAAUAUUUGGAAGCUGCGCAAGCUCGACUACGUAUAAUUGGUUCAGUGAUCACUGGAUCGGAGUGCAACUCCCACUAGUAAUAAGUAGCCUGCAUGUGCUGCUCUAGCAACUAGGCAUAGCAAUUUGUAAAGUGCAACCGAGUAGAACAGAAUUGAAAGGAUGAGUGAUUCGUGGGCUUGCAACUCUUGUUUUGUGAAAGGGGUAUUAUUUACCUAGGAGGCCGAAGGUGAAUGCCCAGGGAUGCUGAAGGGAAAAGCCAGCCAUUGUGAUACAAGAGGAUCUAAAAAUAGUAUGUCUGCAAGAGCUCCAACACAAGCUACACAGCUAAUUGAACAGUUGCUGGAAUUAAGGUGAUGAGCUUGGCUUUGGAACUACUUCUCUUCCUCUCUAACCCUUUGGCCCCUGCAGGAGGGAAGGGAGAGUUCUGAGGAGGAGUUCUCUGUGUUGGC
rnacentral:lncRNA from 1 species